UACAGAGGUCCCAAGCGUUGUUCGGAUUCACUGGGCGUAAAGGGUGCGCAGGUGGGUUUGCAAGUUUGAUGUGAAAGCCCCGGGCUUAACCCGGGAAUGGCAUUGAAUACUGCAGAUCUGGAGGAUUGGAGGGGGGACUGGAAUUCUUGGUGUAGCAGUGAAAUGCGUAGAUAUCAAGAGGAACACCAGUGGCGAAGGCGAGUCCCUGGACAAUACCUGACACUGAGGCACGAAAGCCAAGGGAGCAAAACAGG
rnacentral:rRNA from 1 species